rnacentral:lncRNA from 1 species
UUUUGAAGGAAAAUGUUUCUUUGACACCAACAUUUGACACAAAUUUGACACCGUCCAGGUGUCAAAUUUCUAUUGGGUGAUGUUUUAUUUACUGAAACAGUUUUUUUAAUAAAGUGGCAGGGGCAGAACUGGAAUAAUGAGUGUUUGAAUAUCAUUUUGGAAUUGGCGGUUUCAUUUUCGUUUCACUCUUGCUUGAGAACAGUUUCGAACACUUUCGCCUUCUCUCCAACGUCUUCGUUCUUCGUCCACCACCAUCUCCAUUGCUGC